AUUGAACGCUGGCGGUAUGCUUAACACAUGCAAGUCGAACGGUAGCAGGCCUUCGGGCGCUGACGAGUGGCGGACGGGUGAGUAACGCGUAGGAAUCUGCCUGGUAGUGGGGGACAACGUGGGGAAACUCACGCUAAUACCGCAUACGCCCUACGGGGGAAAGCGGGGGACCUUCGGGCCUCGCACUAUUGGAUGAGCCUAUGUCUGAUUAGCUUGUUGGUAGGGUAAUGGCCUACCAAGGCGACGAUCAGUAGCUGGUCUGAGAGGACGAUCAGCCACACUGGAACUGAGACACGGUCCAGACUCCUACGGGUGGCAG
rnacentral:rRNA from 1 species